UUCCUCCAAUUAAAGGUUCUCUUGUGAUCAAUGUUGGAGAUGCACUACAAAUAAUGAGCAAUGGAAGGUAUAGGAGUGUUGAACAUCGUGUGGUCGCUAAUGGAAAUAAGAACAGAAUUUCAGUCCCUAUUUUUGUGAAUCCAAGACCUGUUGAUAUGAUAGGACCAUUGCCUGAACUGGUCGCAAAUGGUGAGAAACCAAUUUACAAACAAGUUAUUUAUUCAGAUUACGUCAAACAUUUCUUUCGUAAAGCACAUGACGGGAAGAAAACAGUUGAAUUUGCUGAAUUAUAAACAUCUCCUAUUUCUUUUAUCUAAUCUAGUGAAGCUCUUGAUUUUGUAAUGAAAAAUGGCUAAGAUAAAUAAUAUGUAUGGAACUGGCCGUUGUCUAAGAAAAUGUCAUUCAUUGAUUUUGAAAUAAUAAAAAAUGUCUUAAUCUUUCUUUUUAUUUAAUUUCUAUCCAAAUGGUGUGCCUGGAUAAGAAAGUUUAAGAUUUCGGAGACUUUUAGAAUGCUUGUAUAUUAAAAUUCAUCAUUUCAAAAUGCUAGUAUUUGUAACUAUUAUAUUUGUAUAAAUUUUACUAUGGUAUCAAUAUAUAUUUUUAUAGUUUUAAAAAAACUAAAUAAAAAUUUUAUCAUUUUUAAAGUUCAAAUUAUAAUUUUACUCUAUAUUUACUUAAAAAACUUUGAAAAAUCUAAAACUUAAAAGUUCCAUUUUAAGAGAACCAACACACCUUCGCCCCUGCUCUUAGAGUACAACUUCCAAUGCCUUCAUUUUUCUUUUGCAAACAUCUAGCUACACUAGGUCUAAUCAAUCCAACCUAAAAAAAUGAAAAAUUAAAUUUGAAAAUGAUAAUUUAGUGUUUUAAGAAUAGCUUCAUCAUAAAAAACAAAAAACAAAUAAUAGAAAAUGUCAUUUAAAAAAAUUAAAUCAGUUUCCUAAAAAGAUCCCAUAUGACGGCAGAUAGUAGGAAGUGAGUUCAUUUUUGGGGGUUCUUUCUACCGAAGUUUUUUGAAGUUCUGUUUUUCUUCUUUAAUUUUUGUGUACUUUGGAUGAUCCCUUCAUGUUUUGGGGAAUGGUCUCAUGUUUCUGUUAUGACAUUCAUAAUUAAUUCUUAGUUGAAUAACUGGAUUAAAUUACUUUACUUGAUGUAUUGUUAUGUUUUUAUUCAAAAAUGUUAAUAAGAAAGAUUGUUAAUGCUAGCUAUAAAAGGUAGAUGCAACUCAAGCAACAUAUCACAAGUCAUUAUAACUUACUUUAUUUUGUUAGCAUAUCUUGACCAAAAUUAUUAGAGCUUUGACUAUUAGCAAGGAUCUAAGUUAAGCAAAGACUUUUAAAAGGAUCAAAAGAUUUGAUCUGCAAGGGAGUUGAUAUCGAUAAAACUUUCACCAAUAUACUCUUUAUUGAACACAUAUUCGGAAACUACUUUUCAAAAAUUAGAUAUUUACAUUAAUUGCAUUUUAAUAAGCUACAUUAUACUUGUUUUAGGUUUAAAUAGAGUGAUAGAGAGUUUUCAAUGCAUAUUUCUUUUAUUCAAUAACAUAAUCUUAAUACAUUAUUAUAUAAUAAAUAUUUUUAUAAUUUAUUUUUAAUAAAUAUAAACAUUUUUUAAAUUUUAUUUAUAAUCUAGGACAAAUAUAAUUUAUUUUUAUAUUUUUUUUGGCCAGAUAUAUUUUAUUAUUUAAUUUAAAUAUAAUUUAUAAAAUAUUUUGAUAUUUUAUUUUAAAUACACAUUUUAAUAUUUAAUGUCCUUAGUAAUAAUUUUUUUAUUUUAUUUUUAUUUUUAUUUUUAUCGUUGCAUUUAAAUUCAAAAACAUAUCUCAUUAAUCAUUAGUUAAUUAAAUUUAUAAGCAGUACAGUUAAAUCUUUAUUGGCAUUCCAAAAAAACCAAGAUUAAACCUUAUUAUUGUCAUCUUUUUUCAGUCAAUUUUAUAUUUAUAUGACUAUAUCGAUUAAGAAUAUAUUUCUUUUAAUAUCUUGGCUUAUUAAACUUCUUUAUAUUGAAUAAACAGUUCUUUUUUUUUUUAUACUUUACUCGAAAUUUAAUAUGUACAGUGAGAUGAAACAUUUGGAAUAAAUAAAUAUAUAUCAUAUAAAACUUAUAAAACCUUGUAAAACUUUAAUCAAUUUUACAAUAGUACAAAUAUAUAAUAAAUAUAUGUAUAUAUGCAUACGAGUUUUUACAUUCUGUGGAGGACUUCCAACCUCAGUCAGCCAUUUUAGACUUGAACUUUCUUAAGGUAGUGCAAAUAUUUCAUAUUUCUUUAAGGCUUUUCGCCAAACAAGGUUGGUGCACGGUAACAGCGUGCAGUGUACAUGGGUUGGUGAGCCUGCCUUGCACACGCAUUCAAAUUAAGACUAAGGCACUAAAGCCAAUGUCAACCUUGAAAACUUUCUAUAUAAAUGGGCACUCCACUGAAACCAAGCUGCACCAUUGCCCUCUCUUGUAUCACUCUUAUCCUCUUCCACAAACACCACUUUGCUAUCUUUUAACUCAAAUUUACACAAACCAAUGGCUCCAACACUUGCUGAUCCAUUCAAUGAUUCUUCUGCUCUCAUUGACUUUGUUAUUAACCAAGGGAAUGGAGUGAAGGGUUUGUCCGAACUGGGUCUUAAAGCCCUCCCUAAGCAGUAUGUCCAACCUUUGGAAGAGAGGAUGUGCAUGACCAAUAUUGUACCCCAAGGGUCAAUUCCCAUCAUUGAUAUGUCAAACUGGGAAGAUCCCAACUUAGCGAAAUCAAUUUGUGAUGCUGCGUCGGAAUGGGGCUUCUUCCAAAUUGUUAAUCAUGAUGUGCCUGUUGAAGUGUUGGAGAAUGUUAAAGAUGCUACUUAUAACUUCUUUAGAUUGCCAGCUGAGGUUAAAAAUAAGUAUUCCAAGGAACAUUCAUCUUCAAACAAUGUGAGGUUUGGUACAAGUUUUACCCCUCAAGCAGAAAAGGCUCUCGAGUGGAAAGAUUAUCUCAGCUUGUUUUAUGUCUCUGAAGAAGAAGCUUCUGCACUAUGGCCUUCUGUCUGUAGGUACGGAAAAGUUAAUUGUUAGAUUUUCUUUAAUCCUUAAACAUCAUGGCUUGCACUCCUUUCGUUAACAAAUAUAUUAAUAUAUCUUUUCGGUUUUUUUAGGGAGCAAGUGUUAGAUUACAUGAAGAAGUCCAAAGUUGUCAUUAAACAACUAUUACAGGUGCUAAUGAAGGGUCUAAAUGUCAAUGAGAUUGAUGAGGCAAAAGAAUCAUUAUUGAUGGGUUCAAUGAGGACUAACCUUAACUACUAUCCUAAAUGUCCAAACCCUGAACUCACUGUCGGAGUAGGUCGUCACUCUGAUGUCUCAACUCUUACAAUUCUUCUUCAAGAUGAGAUUGGGGGACUUUUCGUAAGAGGAAACAAGGGAGAUGAUUGGAUUCAUGUUCCUCCAAUUAAAGGUUCUCUUGUGAUCAAUGUUGGAGAUGCACUACAAAUAAUGAGCAAUGGAAGGUAUAGGAGUGUUGAACAUCGUGUGGUCGCCAAUGGAAGUAAGAACAGAAUUUCAGUCCCUAUUUUUGUGAAUCCAAGACCUGUUGAUAUGAUAGGACCAUUGCCUGAACUGGUCGCAAAUGGUGAGAAACCAAUUUACAAACAAGUUCUUUAUUCAGAUUACGUCAAACAUUUCUUUCGUAAAGCACAUGACGG
rnacentral:lncRNA from 1 species